UUUCGACACGAGAUGCUCUGUG
rnacentral:miRNA from 1 species